AUAUUUUAUAAGAUAAAGUUUGGUGUGGAGAGGAGAAGGAAAAAAAUUGACGAAACGGAGGCGGAUCAAAUUUUUCCUUCAUCUUCAUCUUCAUCGUUACAACUCAUACCUACAACAUCAACAGCAACUACCUACAUCACGGUACUCACAACCGUAACCCCUUAUCUCUCGCGAAAUCACCAUACAUCCACAUGUCACAGCAAACCAGCAUCGUUCCCCUCCGUCUUAGCCGCACAAAUCCUUCAACUACCGUCACUAUCAUCAUAUCAGUUCAACAACACAGAGGAGUUUCUCCACCUCACGCUGAUUCUCUCUUCUGAAACAUCCGCUCGCCAUCUUCGCGGCUGUUUGAUGCAUAUUGUUCAGAAGAUAAUGAUGUAA